ACUACGGGUGGCAGCAGUGAGGAAUAUUGGUCAAUGGACGAGAGUCUGAACCAGCCAAGUAGCGUGAAGGAUGACUGCCCUAUGGGUUGUAAACUUCUUUUAUAUGGGAAUAAAACGUUCCACGUGUGGGAUUUUGUAUGUACCAUAUGAAUAAGGAUCGGCUAACUCCGUGCCCGCAGCCGCGGUAAUGCGGAGGAUCCGAGCGUUAUCCGGAUUUAUUGGGUUUAAAGGGAGCGUAGGUGGAUUGUUAAGUCAGUUGUGAAAGUUUGCGGCUCAACCGUAAAAUUGCAGUUGAAACUGGCAGUCUUGAGUACAGUAGAGGUGGGCGGAAUUCGUGGUGUAGCGGUGAAAUGCUUAGAUAUCACGAAGAACUCCGAUUGCGAAGGCAGGUCACUGGACUGUAACUGACGUUGAGGCUCGAAGGCGUGGGGAGCAAACAGGAUUAGAUACCCUAGUAGUC
rnacentral:rRNA from 1 species